rnacentral:rRNA from 1 species
CCGGCAACCGGCGCACGGGUGAGUAACACGUAUGCAACCUGCCCGUCUCAGGGGGAUAAUCGUCGGAAACGGCGUCUAAUACCCCGUAUGAAGCUGGACGGCAUCGUCUGGUUUUGAAAGAGUAUCGGAGACGGAUGGGCAUGCGGCGCAUUAGCUAGUUGGCGGGGUAACGGCCCACCAAGGCGACGAUGCGUAGGGGUUCUGAGAGGAAGGUCCCCCACACUGGUACUGAGACACGGACCAGACUCCUACGGGAGGCAGCAG